UGUCCUUGCUCUUGUUGGCCCAAGUAGCAACUAAUAGAAGCGCUAUCUGGCAAGGUGACUAGAGCCACCAGGAGUCCUGAGAGACUGGCCUGCGGUUGGGUUGUAUGCUUUCUGCUCAGGUCAGCCUCCAGUGCCUUAUUAGUGAUGUCCUAAGCUUCCUUAAGGUGGGCAGGGGCCUGCAUUACUCCUCAACAAGAUAGAAUUAGUCUGUUAGUACAUUUAUAAAAUUAGAUUAACUCAGCUGUUGUUUUGUUUCCAGCAUUAACAUUGACAUCAACUGGAACUAUUUUGAAACCUCUACUUAGCUUGAAUGAUAUAUUUCCUCUCUUGUAUCUGGAAAACAGUUUGAUUUUUUUUUUUCUGGUUUGUUGGUUUGGUUUUUUUUUGUUUUGUUUUGUUUUGUUUUUGCAUAGCACAAGGUAGACCAUUCAUGUUUCAUUUUCUUCUUUAUCUUUCUAUAUUUUGAACAUUUCUGUCAUGACAGAUUUCACUGAUUCUGGCUCUGUAUUUCCUCUGAAAUAAGACUGAACAUUUACAACCAUUUACAUUAACACUAAACAUGACCUUCCCAACUUCCACAGUGGUGUUAAUAAUAACAUAUCCUCUAAGGCUGUCUGCAAGACAGGCCUGCCUCUUGAUCAGUGGGUUCCAGUGGACUUAAAAACCCUAUGCAGAGCCUGGCGGUGGCCGCGCACACCUUUAAUUCCAGCACUCCCAAGGCAGAGGCAAGAGGAUCUCUGAGUUGGAGGCUAGCCUGGUCUACAGGGCUAGUUCCAGGAUAGCCAGGGGAACACAAAGAAACACUGUCUUGAAACAAAACAAAACCCUUAAAACAUCCAAGCAGCUGGAAAAUUGAACCAGUUAAUCCCACUGAUAACCUGUAGUCAAGGGGAACUGCUAAUGUGAAGGCUGGCAGAGGAAAUACAGUUCUCUGGUCCAUCGUGGGGGGUUUAGGUUUCCUUUUCAUGUAACAGUUGAGGUUUGAAGGUGCAAGAAGACAAGAUUUCUGGAAAUCUUUAAAAGGUUAGAGCAUGCGAUUUGGUCAAGUUAUAUAGAAGGCGCUGAAUCUUUUGCCUGUGAGACUUUAAAUCUCUUGUUGGUUGUAGAACGGACUAGUCAGGGGAAGUGUCCUUUGUCUUCAGUGGUGAGCUUUCUUACUUGUGCUUGUACGAGAGACCCCUGUCCCCUACCCGCUCAUUUUGAUUUGUCGGCAUUCGAAGCGUUACUGUUUGUUGCACCUGUUUUGGUUUCAAAGAGAGGGCUUACUAGAAACCCGAAAGGACAAGCUUGCACAUAGUACUUCAUUCUGCACUGACAAUUACGGGGUUUUGUGCUAUAAAGCAGUGCUUCUCAAAACUGAGUC
rnacentral:lncRNA from 1 species